AGCGGUCAUGUUUUGCAACAAAAUCACUUUAUGAAGUUAAAUCAAUUCUGCUUACCGUGUGAGUGUUUAAAAACCAGCUCCUCCUUUGUCUAAAAUCGGUCUCAAACCUGAACCAGACGUCCAGGAGGCAGACACAACUGAGAGACAGCACCGAGACACAGCUACAGUCUGGUACGUUUGUCUGCAGCUGAUGGACCAGUUCUAGGACCUGCUGCUUCCUCUGGAGCCCCACAGUUUGUUCUCCUGCUGAGCUGGAGAAAACAGAGAAGCAGCAUUUAUCUGCAUGAUGGAAGACAGCCACAGCUGAUGAAUCUGCUGCUGUUUGGGAACCAGGAGCUGCAAAAAUCCCUCUGAUCCUCCCAGAUGUGAAUGAAAGUGUGAUGAAGAAGAAGACGGAGUGAAAGACUGUAAAUAGUCACUCUGCUGCUGACAGUAUAGAAGCCAUCAGGACCUCUGACUGUCUCUGUAGGUCCAGCAGAGAGGAGGUUUCCAUCACCGUCCAGCCACAACACCUCAGGCUCUGGAUACCAGCCUGCAGAUUUACACUGUAACUCCACUGAGCUGCUGGUUCUACCAAGUCCUGCUAAACUGAUGACUGGAAAUGAAACAGCACCUAAAGAUAAGAAGGGAAACAUCAGACAGUAGAAAAGGAGGACAGGACUAUCUUCCAACUUUACUAUCUGGAUCCUUGUUCCAGCCUCUCAUUUUCUCUGUUUUUUUUUUAUACAUAAAUUCUUUUUCAUUCUC